GUUUCUUUCUUUCUUUUAUUCUCUCUUUCUUUCUUUCUUUCUUUCUUUCUUUUAUUCUCUCUCUUUCUUUUAUUCUCUCUUUCUUUCUUUCUUUGAUUCUUUCUGUCUUUCUUUCUUUCUUUCUUUUAUUCUCUCUUUCUUUCUUUGAUUCUCUCUGUCUUUCUUUCUCUUUUAUUCUCUCUUUCUUUCUUUCUUUCUUUCUUUGAGUCUCUCUGUCUUUCUUUCUUUCUUUGAUUCUCUGUCUUUCUUUCUUUUAUUCUUUCUUUCUUUCUUUUUUCUCUCUUUCUCUCUUUCUUUCUUUCUUUUUUCUCUCUUUCUUUCUUUCUUUCUUUCUCUCUUUCUUUCUUUCUUUGAUUCUCUCUUUCUUUCUUUCUUUCUUUCUUUCUUUUAUUCUCUCUCUCUUUCUUUUAUUCUCUCUUUCUUUCUUUCUUUGAUUCUUUCUGUCUUUCUUUCUUUCUUUUAUUCUCUCUUUCUUUCUUUGAUUCUCUCUGUCUUUCUUUCUCUUUUAUUCUCUCUUUCUUUCUUUCUUUCUUUGAGUCUCUCUGUCUUUCUUUCUUUCUUUGAUUCUCUGUCUUUCUUUCUUUUAUUCUCUCUUUCUUUCUUUUUUCUCUCUUUCUUUCUUUCUUUUAUUCUUUCUGUCUUUCAUUCUUUUUUCUCUCUCUCUUUCUUUCUUUCUUUCUUUCUUUCUCUCUUUCUUUCUUUCCUUUAUUCUUUCUUUCUUUUUUUCUCUCUUUCUUUCCUUCUUUCUUGCUCUCUUUUAUUCUCUCUUUCUUUCAUUCUUUUAUUCGCUCUUUCUUUCUUUCUUAUUGUCUUUUAUUCUCUCUUUCUUUCUUUCUUUCUUUUAUUCUCUCUUUCUUUCUUUUUUCUCUCUUUCUUUCUUUCCUUUAUUCUCUCUUUCUUUCUUUUUUUUAUUCUUUCGCUUUCUUUCAUUCUUUCUUUGAUUCCCUCUUUCUUUCUCUUUCUUUCUUUGAUUCUUUCUUUCUUUCUUUCUUUGAGUCUCUCUGUCUUUCUUUCUUUCUUUUAUUCUCUCUUUCUUUCUUUCCUUUAUUCUUUCUUUCUUUCUUUCUUUCUUUUAUUCUCUCUUUCUUUCUUUUAUUCUCUCUUUUUCUUUCUUUCUUUUAUUCUCUCUUCCUUUCUUUCUUUCUUUUAUGCUCUCUUUCUUUCUUUCUUUUAUUCUUUCUGUCUUUUAUUCUUUUUUCUCUCUCUCUCUUUCUUUCUUUCUUUCUUUCUCUCUUUCUUUCUUUCCUUUAUUCUUUCUUUCUUUUUUUCUCUCUUUCUUUCCUUCUUUCUUGCUCUCUUUUAUUCUCUCUUUCUUUCAUUCUUUUAUUCGCUCUUUCUUUCUUUCUUUCUGUCUUUUAUUCUCUCUUUCUUUCUUUCUUUCUUUUAUUCUCUCUUUCUUUCUUUGAUUCUCUCUGUCUUUCUUUCUCUUUUAUUCUCUCUUUCUUUCUUUCUUUCUUUGAGUCUCUCUGUCUUUCUUUCUUUCUUUGAUUCUCUGUCUUUCUUUCUUUUAUUCUCUCUUUCUUUCUUUUUUCUCUCUUUCUUUCUUUCCUUUAUUCUCUCUUUCUUUCUUUCUUUCAUUCUUUCUCUUUCUUUCAUUCUUUCUUUGAUUCCCUCUUUCUUUCUCUUUCUUUCUUUGAUUCUUUCUUUCUUUCUUUCUUUGAUUCUCUCUGUCUGUCUUUCUUUCUUUCUUUUAUUCUCUCUUUCUUUCUUUCUUUCUUUCUUUCUUUCUUUUAUUCUCUCUUUCUUUCUUUUAUUCUCUCUUUUUUUCUUUCUUUCUUUUAUUCUCUCUUCCUUUCUUUCUUUCUUUUAUGCUCUCUUUCUUUCUUUCUUUUAUUCUUUCUGUCUUUCAUUCUUUUUUCUCUCUCUCUUUCUUUCUUUCUUUCUUUCUUUUUCUUUCCUUUAUUCUUUCUUUCUUUUAUUCUCUCUUUCUUUCCUUCUUUCUUGCUCUCUUUUAUUCUCUCUUUCUUUCUUCUAUUCCCUCUUUCUUUCUUUCUUUCUUUUUCUGUCUUUCUUUCAUUCUUUUAUUCUCUCUGUCUUUCUUUCUUUCUUUUAUUCUUUCUAUCUUUCUUCCUUUCUUUGAUUCUCUCUGUCUUUCAUUCUUUUAUUCUCUCUUUCUUUCUUUCUUUCUUUCUGUCUUUUAUUCUCUCUUUCUUUCUUUCUUUCUUUCUUUUAUUCUUUCUGUCUUUCUUUCUUUUAUUCUCUCUUUCUUUCUUUCUUUCUUUUAUUCUCUCUGUCUUUCUUUCUUUCUUUUAUUCUCUUUCUUUCUUUCAUUCUUUUAUUCUUUCUGUCUUUCUUUCUUUUAUUCUCUCUGUCUUUCUUUCCUUUAUUCUCUCUUUCUUUCUUUCUUUUAUUCUCUCUUUCUUUCAUUCUUUUUUCUCCCUUUCUUUCUCUCUUUCUUUCUUUCUUUUAUUCUCUCUUUCUUUCUUUCUUUUAUUCUCUCUUUCUUUCCUUCUUUCUUGCUCUCUUUAAUUCUCUUUCUUUCUUCUAUUCCCUCUUUCUUUCUUUCUUUCUUUCUUUCUUUGAUUCUCUGUCUUUCUUUCUUUUAUUCUCUCUUUCUUUCUUUCUUUUUUUCUGUCUUUCUUUCUUUCUUUUUUCUUUCUUUCUUUCUUUCUUUGAUUCUCUCUGUCUUUCUUUCUUUCUUUUAUUCUCUCUUUUUCUUUCUUUCUUUUAUUCUCUCUUCCUUUCUUUCUUUCUUUUAUGCUCUCUUUCUUUCUUUCUUUUAUUCUUUCUGUCUUUCAUUCUUUUUUCUCUCUCUCUUUCUUUCUUUCUUUCUUUCUCUCUUUCUUUCUUUCCUUUAUUCUUUCUUUCUUUUUUUCUCUCUUUCUUUCCUUCUUUCUUGCUCUCUUUUAUUCUCUCUUUCUUUCUUCUAUUCCCUCUUUCUUUCUUUCUUUCUUUGAUUCUCUCCGUCUUUCAUUCUUUUAUUCUCUCUGUCUUUCUUUCUUUCUUUUAUUCUUUCUAUCUUUCUUCCUUUCUUUGAUUCUCUCUGUCUUUCAUUCUUUUAUUCUCUCUUUCUUUCUUUCUUUCUUUCUGUCUUUUAUUCUCUCUUUCUUUCUUUCUUUCUUUUAUUCUUUCUGUCUUUCUUUCUUUUAUUCUCUCUUUCUUUCUUUCUUUCUUUUAUUCUCUCUGUCUUUCUUUCUUUCUUUUAUUCUCUUUCUUUCUUUCAUUCUUUUAUUCUUUCUGUCUUUCUUUCUUUUAUUCUCUCUGUCUUUCUUUCCUUUAUUCUCUCUUUCUUUCUUUCUUUUAUUCUCUCUUUCUUUCAUUCUUUUUUCUCUCUUUCUUUCUCUCUUUCUUUCUUUCUUUGAUUCUCUGUCUUUCUUUCUUUCUUUUAUUCUCUCUUUCUUUCUUUUAUUCUCACUUUCUUUCCUUCUUUCUUGCUCUCUUUAAUUCUCUUUCUUUCUUCUAUUCCCUCUUUCUUUCUUUCUUUCUUUGAUUCUCUGUCUUUCUUUCUUUUAUUCUCUCUUUCUUUCUUUCUUUUUUUCUGUCUUUCUUUCUUUCUUUUUUCUUUCUUUCUUUCUUUCUUUGAUUCUCUCUGUCUUUCUUUCUUUCUUUUAUUCUCUCUUUCUUUCUUUCCUUUAUUCUUUCUUUCUUUCUUUCUUUUAUUCUCUUUCUUUCUUUUUUCU